rnacentral:rRNA from 1 species
CGGACGGGUGAGUAAUGUCUGGGAAACUGCCUGAUGGAGGGGGAUAACUACUGGAAACGGUAGCUAAUACCGCAUAACGUCGCAAGACCAAAGAGGGGGACCUCCGGGCCUCGCGCCAUCAGAUGAACCCAUAUGGGAUUAGCUUGUAGGUAAGGUAACGGCUUACCUAGGCGACGAUCCCUAGCUGGUCUGAGAGGAUGAUCAGCCACACUGGGACUGAGACACGGCCCAG